UUGAUACUGUUAGACUAGAGUUUAAGGGACGUAACCCGGAAUGUGAUGUGUAGCGGUGAAAUGCAUAGAUAUGUCACAGAACGCCGAUCGUGAAGACAGGUUACGAACUUAAUACUGACGCUCAGGCACGAAAGCGUGGGGAUCAAACAGGAUUAGAUACCCUGGUAGUACACGCUGUAAACGAUGAUCACUCGUUGUUGGUUAGUAAUAAUCAGUGGCCAAGCGAAAGCGUUAAGUGAUCCACCUGGGGAGUACGAUCGCAAGGUUGAAACUCAAAGGAAUUGACGGGGGCCCGCACAAGCGGAGGAACAUGUGGUUUAAUUCGAUGAUACGCGAGGAACCUUACCUGGGCUUAAAUGGGGAGUGACAGCUGCUGAAAGGUGGUUUUCUUCGGACACUCUCCAAGGUGCUACAUGGUUGUCGUCAGCUCGUGCCGUGAGGUGUCGGGUUAAGUCCCAUAACGAGCGCAAC
rnacentral:rRNA from 1 species